GACGUAGGGCGCGAGCGUUGUCCGGAUUUAUUGGGCGUAAAGAGCUCGUAGGCGGCUUGUCGCGUCAACUGUGAAAACCCGUGGCUCAACCAUGUGGUCUGCAGUCGAUACGGGCAGGCUAGAAUUCGGUAGGGGAGACUGGAGUUCCUGGUGUAGCGGUGAAAUGCGCAGAUAUCAGGAGGAACACCGGUGGCGAAGGCGGGUCUCUGGGCCGAUACUGACGCUGAGGAGCGAAAGCGUGGGGAGCGAACAGG
rnacentral:rRNA from 1 species